GUGGGGAAUUUUUCGCAAUGGGCGAAAGCCUGACGAAGCAACGCCGCGUGGAGGAUGAAGGCCUUCGGGUCGUAAACUCCUGUCGACCGGGACGAAAGCAGUCUGGCCGAACAAGCCGGGCUGUUGACUGUACCGGUGGAGGAAGCCACGGCUAACUCUGUGCCAGCAGCCGCGGUAAUACAGAGGUGGCAAGCGUUGUUCGGAAUUACUGGGCGUAAAGGGCGCGUAGGCGGCCCGAUAAGUCCCGCGUGAAAGCCCCCGGCUCAACUGGGGAACUGCGCGGGAAACUGACGGGCUUGAGUUCGGGAGAGGGAAGCGGAAUUCCGGGUGUAGCGGUGAAAUGCGUAGAUAUCCGGAGGAACACCAGUGGCGAAGGCGGCUUCCUGGACCGACACUGACGCUGAGGCGCGAAAGCUAGGGGAGCAAACGGGAUUAGAAACCCUAGUAGUCC
rnacentral:rRNA from 1 species